CUCGGCUCGAGCCCUAGGGCCGCUGCCACCUGACACCACCUACGGCCGCGGUCGCUGUUGGCAGCACCUUCGCCCGUCUUCGCCUACGCUGCCGCCACCUCUGGUGGCCAUCGGCCCCUCCGCCCCACCCACGCAAGAGCAGUAGGAGGCGGCGGGGAGGAUGAGCAAGGAGAUGGCGGGAGGAAGAGAGAUUCUUGGCGGCACGCUUGCCUUAUUGGACAUGUUGUGCAACUCACUGUUUUUUCUCUUGCCAUCAUCUCCAAUAGUGUCGAGUCCCCUUCCUGGCGCCAAUUGCAACACAUAUCUCCUUUGACUAAUUAGCCAUUGUUUCCCGCAACCGGUUUAGUUUUGUCUCGAACAUCCGUUUUCUUUGAGAUUUGUUUUUGUCGUGUGCUGAUUAUUUAGACAUCCUCUCUGCCACCACAACCUAUCCAAGCAAGCAACAGAUCGAGGAGGACGGAGGCACGGCGCGACGACGACCGUGGCAUAGAUCAAGAGCAUGGUCAUGGGCUCAUGGCCUGGGAGCGAAUCAGGCAUCCUGGAUCACGACGGAAGCUGGAAGCCGCGAGAGCUGCCCGAAGAAGAGGGCGAUGACAUGGGCUGGAGGCCGAGGAAGAGGGCGACGAAGCGGGGGUGGAAGAGGGUGUGUCUGUGGUUAUCGCCUUCCGAGACGACGUGACUUGAUGAUUUAGAUUCGCCUUCUGAGAUGAUGCGACGCGGCAAUUCAGAUUUCUCUCCUUUCUCGCCUCAACGACAUGCUCUGCUUCUCUAGCUUGUAGGUUGUGGCCUUUCUCUUCUCCUCUUGUUUCCUUGCAUUCUGAUCAAGCCAUGGUGCAUAUUGCCUCUGGUUUGCUUAUGUGAGUGUGCUUCUAUACAGAAAAUUUGAUUUGCUUGUUUUUCAUUUCUUUACGGGUAUGAGGAGAGAGCUCUAUUGUUUGCAGCGGCUGCAUCAUUUCGACAAGUGAUAUGAUUGAUCUUUGCUAUGUGGACCAAUGGCAUGAUGUGUACCUAAGGUUGGAGGUGCUGAAUUGGAACACGUGAGAAAUCACUGAUGCGCAUGGCUGGCAGCUUUCACACGAUGAAGUAAAAUUGGCAGGACCAAUUAGGAUGCAUACCUGAAGGAGUGAAUCUACUGGUUCAGCUGAAAAUUGAUCUCUAUUUGGUUUCUGUUUUUGCGUUUGGUUUUGCCGGCCGCUCGUCCUUGGUAUGCUCAUCCAUCUUGGCUGCUCUGUUUGCCUGCUUCUCCUCUCUAACUCAGGUUCUGCGAUCUCUUGUGUUGCUGCGUCCCGAUCUUCUGCUUUGUUGCAUCGCUGUUCUGUCAUCGAAAGGACGUGUCUGUACUUGCUGGGGUGGAAUUCAAAUUGUGAGGGAUGGUUGUGCUCAGAUUUGGUCGCUGCUGGUCGGUUCUUGACUUUAGCGCAUGAAAACCUGCAACUGCUAUCAAGCGAACCACAGGAGGGAGCAGCAGGCAUAGAAGAAAUCCCAAGCCAUUUUUGCUCAGCUGUAGCAUCUUCCACUGACAAUAAGUCUGCACAGCAGCUUGGCUGAUGUUCUUGCUUAGUAUAAGCCAACAAUGGAGAAACUGACCAAGCUAUCUUUCAUGAUCAGUUACACACCAAGCCUAUAUUUUUGCUGCUUCUACAUGUUGCUAUGAUGGUCAUUCAGCCCAUUUUCUUGAACCUGCACUACAACGAGAGAUCUGGGCUGCUUCUUUGUGGCUUCCAAACUUGAAAUGUUUGUUUCGAAGUUAGUUUAGUUUUUUGUUGUGGAUUCACAGCUUCUCGCAUGUACCAUCCUCUUAGACCUUUAGAUUUCCAAAGAAACUAAAUGAAGACAUGGUGGUAUGGUCUCAAUAGUACAACUUAAAGCCUUCCAUGCUUUAUAUUUUCUCUGAAAUUUGCUCUUGAAGAAUAAUGUAUCUAUGUUAGAUCCGGUGAGAAAAGGCGGCUUCCAAGCAGAGGAUGCGGGAGUGUUGCCACAUUUGGU